CUCGAAGACAAAUAAAAUUCAAUUUAGAAGAUGUAAUAAGUACAGAAAUAUAAUAUAAAAAAUAUUAAAAUUUUUAAUAAUUAUUUUAUAUUAUUUAAAAUUUGAUAUUUUUAUAAUUAUUUUAAAAAUUAUAAAUUAAUUAAAAAUUUAAAUUCAAAUUAAAGAUCCAUAAAUUUUUGAGUUCAAAUUUUUGAAAUGAAAUGCGGACCC
rnacentral:lncRNA from 1 species